UACGGAGGAUCCAAGCGUUAUCCGGAUUUAUUGGGUUUAAAGGGUGCGUAGGCGGCCUGUUAAGUCAGGGGUGAAAGACGGUAGCUUAACUAUCGCAGUGCCCUUGAUACUGAUGGGCUUGAAUAUACUUGAGGUAGGCGGAAUGUGACAAGUAGCGGUGAAAUGCAUAGAUAUGUCACAGAACACCAAUUGCGAAGGCAGCUUACUAAAGUAUGAUUGACGCUGAGGCACGAAAGCGUGGGGAUCAAACAGG
rnacentral:rRNA from 1 species